rnacentral:lncRNA from 1 species
CUCCUCCUAACGACCCGGGCAGAGAAGAGCUCCUUUAAGUCGAACUAGCGUGGAGUCAGAACCUGCUUGGCUCCCGCUUCAGAAGUGUAUAAGAUCAGCUUUAUCUUUCCAAAUGGAGACAAGUAUGAUGGUGACUGUACAAGAACAUCUUCUGGAAUCUACGAGAGAAAUGGAAUAGGUAUUCAUACCACUCCUAAUGGGAUUGUCUACACAGGAAGCUGGAAAGAUGACAAGAUGAAUGGUUUUGGAAGACUUGAGCAUUUUUCAGGAGCAGUAUAUGAAGGACAAUUUAAGGAUAAUAUGUUUCAUGGACUGGGGACUUACACAUUCCCAAAUGGGGCAAAGUAUACUGGAAAUUUCAAUGAAAAUAGGGUGGAAGGUGAAGGGGAAUAUACUGAUAUCCAAGGACUAGAAUGGAGUGGUAACUUUCAUUUUACAGCUGCUCCAGACCUGAAAUUAAAGCUUCACAUGUAGAUGUGAUGUUAAAUUAAAGUUGAAAUGUAGUAAUUGAAGCUUUUAGUUGUAAGGAAAGCAACUUAAUCUGUUAUUUGAAAUGACUUCAUACACUACCCCUAUAAGUUUGCCAAUAAAACCAUCACCUGCU